rnacentral:rRNA from 1 species
UACGUAGGGUGCGAGCGUUGUCCGGAAUUAUUGGGCGUAAAGAGCUUGUAGGCGGUUUGUCGCGUCUGCUGUGAAAAUCCGGGGCUCAACCCCGGACUUGCAGUGGGUACGGGCAGACUAGAGUGUGGUAGGGGAGACUGGAAUUCCUGGUGUAGCGGUGAAAUGCGCAGAUAUCAGGAGGAACACCGGUGGGCGAAGGCGGGUCUCCUGGGCCGA